rnacentral:rRNA from 1 species
AUACGGAGGGUGCAAGCGUUAUCCGGAUUUAUUGGGUUUAAAGGGUCCGUAGGCGGAUCUGUAAGUCAGUGGUGAAAUCUCAUAGCUUAACUAUGAAACUGCCAUUGAUACUGCAGGUCUCGAGUAAGGUAGAAGUAGCUGGAAUAAGUAGUGUAGCGGUGAAAUGCAUAGAUAUUACUUAGAACACCAAUUGCGAAGGCAGGUUACUAUGUCUUAACUGACGCUGAUGGACGAAAGCGUGGGGAGCGAACAGGAUUAGAAACCCCAGUAGUCC